rnacentral:rRNA from 1 species
AACGAACGCUGGCGGCAUGCCUAACACAUGCAAGUCGAACGAGACCUUCGGGUCUAGUGGCGCUCGGGUGCGUAACGCGUGGGAACCUGCCCCUAUGUUCGGAAUAACUCCCCGAAAUGUGUGCUCAUCCCGGAUAAUGUCUUCCGACCAAAGAUUUAUCGCAUUUGAAUGGUCCCGCGCUGGAUUAGCUAGUUGGUAGGGUAAAAGCCUACCAAGGCGACGAUCCAUAGCUGGUCUGAGAGGAUGCUCGGCCAGACUGGGACUGAGACACGGCCCGGAGUUCAACGGGAGGGAGAAGUGGGGAGAAUUGGAAAAUGAGCGAGAGCCUGAUCCAGCAAUGACGCGUGGGUUAUGAAGGCCUUAGGAUUGUAAUGCUCUUUUACACGGGGUGAAAAUGACAGUACCGUGAGAAUAAGCUCCGGCUAACUCCGUG